UACAGAGGGGGCGAGCGUUGUUCGGAAUUACUGGGCGUAAAGGGCGCGUAGGCGGCCCGCUAAGUCGAACGUGAAAUCCCCAGGCUCAACCUGGGAACUGCGUCCGAUACUGGCAGGCUUGAAUCCGGGAGAGGGAUGUGGAAUUCCAGGUGUAGCGGUGAAAUGCGUAGAUAUCGAGAGGAACACCUGCGGCGAAGGCGGGUUGCUGGGCUGACACUGACGCUGAUGCGCGAAAGCUAGGGGAGCGAACGGG
rnacentral:rRNA from 1 species